UUUUAUUUUAUUUUUUAUUUUUUAUCAGUUUAACUAUUCUUCUGUUAUUUGACUUAGCAAUCACCUAUUUUGAUUCCUGAAUAAUACUAAAAAAACUCAAGAACUCAUUGAAGCAACACAAUUUUUGUGAUUGGAUUAAUUGGUAUGGAUGUACUUGGUAUGAUUAAGAAAAACAUGGUGCUUUCUUGUUGUGAUAAUUAAUUGAUAAUUGAAAUUUAAUCCAAUUUCCUAUGAACAUAGUUAUUCUAUUGGCUUACAGAUAUAAAGAGAUUGCUUCUCUAAAAGCCAAAUCUGGCUCUAUUUCUUCAAAAUUUCAUACAAAUAAUUAUGGUGAUGGAUUUUAUUUUAUUUAUCUAUUUAUUUUUUUGUGUGUUAAUAAAAUGCUCUGUAAAAAUUUCAACAAAGUCUUUACUUAAUUUUUUUUUUCUUCUACUUAAAAUCAUCAUAAAUCUUUAAAGCAAAAUUUUGAUUUAAAAAAAUACCAAUUAUUAUUCUUUUAUAAUGCAGACAGUGAUCAAGUCUUUUUUGGGCAUAUCAAAAGGGCCAAUAACUCUUUGUCUAAGAUAUGCCAUAGUUCUCAGCUCCACACCAUUCUCCUGUUAGAAUAAAUUGUGUUGGUCCUUACACACAAGUGUUGAGUUAGAGUAGGGGAACUGGUUCUGAUCAAAAGCUCACUCAGUUGGGAAGCUCACACAAGAGUGGGUAAUAAUUCAUGGAGCUAUAGAUUAUUUUGCCUACUUCAAUGGAUCCAUCAGGUUCUAUCAAGCAUGAAGGUGGUCAAGAGAGUGCGGCACUCUUUUAUAACAAAACAAGAAGCCAUUGACGAAGAGUUUGCAAAUGUGUUGUAAAACUUAUAUGUUAACAACUUUGGUUGUUUGGAGACCCACAAUGCACAUGGUAGGGUGAGGUGGGAGUAAAGCUCCAUCUACUACUAUGGAAAUGCACAAACAAAUGCACAAAAUUCAUGUUUUGACUUUGAAAUGUGAUAUGCAUCUUUGGUAGAAAGCAUAACAAAGUACGAAACAACUCCCAUGUUGUAGCAUUCUACUGUAAGCGUUUUCUUCCUUCCUUCUUCAAAAAUGAAUUUGUUGGUGGGAAUUAUGCAAGCUUGCAAUGAACAAUAUGUGGUGUACGUAUACAUAUACAUAUAAUGAUACAUUAUCUAUUGAUAUUAUUACACCUCACAUGAUUUCAACAUGACUUAAAUCGACUAAAAAGUGCAUUUCUAUACUAAGGAUGCAUUAGGCAAU
rnacentral:lncRNA from 1 species